UACACAUAACUGGAGCUGAUCUCCUUGGCAUCCUUAUCCUAUCUACCUAUCUUCUUCCUCCCCAAGUCAAUCCCCUUGCUUCCCAAGCCUCCUACCUCCCGAUCCGAUCUGAAUGGGGCGAGACCCAUUACAUCUGGUAUCAGAGGUCCAGUCCGUCGAUCUGGAGACUGCCUACCCCAAGCCAUGCUACCAGAGAAACAGGCGAAGCAGGCGGCGGUGAUGGAGGAACAAAUCGCGGCACUGGCCAACGCCGUCAACGACGGGCGAGUUGCCAACGAGGCCCGCCUCGACACGAUCCGGCAGUCGCUGGAACUAUGGAGGCCGGCGGUUACCCAUCUCCAACAUCAGGUCGACGAGUUGCGCAUGCAGGUUGGGCGCAUCGCGCUCCAUCCGGCUCUGGCGGCACCUCCGGAUCCGAUCCCGGAGGGUGACGCGGUGGUGCGACCGGUUCCUGCAGCAACUACGGACGCCACCGAGCACCACGGGCCGCUAGGCCAUGGCGAGAUCGACAACACCGGGAGCCAGGCGAAUGGCGUGGUCACCACCCAACUACCGCCUCCGGUCAAGGGUACGUCCUUGACCACAAAUCUCUUACCAGUCCUAGAUGUUGCCCAGCACCGGUGCGAACUGGAGUCCCUCACCACACACCAUUCUUCCCUCAAUUGGUCCUUGCCAAAAUUAGAUUUCCCCACUUUCGAUGGAGAUAAUCCCCAAUUCUGGAAGAUGUGUUGUGAGAAAUACUUCGACGUGUAUGGGAUUUCUACUGAGUUAUGGGUCCGUGUAGCUACUCUCCAUUUCACGGGGAAUGCAGCGCACUGGCUGCAACUCCACGAAUCCCAGAGUGCGUCCAUGUCGUGGGGAGAAUUGUGUGCAACCCUAUGUGGCAAGUUCGGCCGCGAACAGUAUCAGGCACACCUGCGUCAAUUUCGAACACUCCGUCAGACAGGCACCAUGCAGGUGUACAUGUCCCAGUUUGAAGAAAUUAUGCACCAGCUUUUGGCGCAUAAUCCAUCCUUUGAUCCAGUUUUCUUUACUACCCAGUUUCUAGAAGGAUUAAAACAUGAAAUUCUUAUGGGUGUGGUUUUGCACCAACCGAAGGACUUGGACUCUGCAUUUUCCUUGGCUUCGAUGCAGGAGGAGCUGAUGGACGCCUUACCACGGCGCGAGUACAGGCGCCAGGAUGCGCCACAGGCACGGCCGGCACCAAGGCCGCUACUUGCGCUGGGAGCUCAAGUGCCGCGCCAACCUCCCCCAGGUGCACCGGUGGCGGCUGACGAUAGACGCGGUCUUGACGCCGCGAAUGCUCCGGAGCGCGGGCGAGCGGCCGACGAUCGAGUGGCCGUGCUGCACAACUAUCGACGCGCGCGAGGCCUCUGCUUCAAGUGCGGCGAACGCAGGGGGCAAGGGCACCAGUGUGCUGCCACGGUGCAACUGCACAUCGUCGAGGAACUGCUCGAGCUUCUCCAGGCGGAUGAUCAAGCCCCACAUCAACCCAUGGAAGACCAAGCUGAUGAGUAUCUAAUGUCAAUUUCCAAGCUGGCAACCACUGGACAGACGAUACCGCAUACAGUACGCUUGCUGGGGGCGAUUGCAGGCAAAGAAAUGUUGGUCUUAGUGGACUCGGGAAGUUCACAUAGCUUCGUGAGCGAGGGAAUAGCCGCUGAUCUACAAGAGCAAGUGCAAGCAAUAGUCGCCACCUCUGUCAAGAUUGCUGAUGGUGGAGUACUACAAUGCAAGGGCAUGAUUCCAGCAUGCUCAUGGACAACCCAGGGGCACACGUUUCAGACUGAUCUGAGGGUUCUAUCAUUGGGUUGUUAUGAUAUGGUUGUGGGCAUGGAUUGGUUGCAGAAGUGUGGCCCGAUCUGGGUCGAUUGGGAACACAAAACCCUGUAGUUUCAGCACGAAGGGGAAUGGGUGCAGCUAACAGGUGUUCAACCAAGAAGUACAGCAGUGGCACAAAUCUCCGCACAACAACUGACGGAAUGGGAAGAACAGAAUGCCAUUGCUCACGUAGUGUUGCUCCAAAGUAUUUCACCGCCUUCACGGGACACACAAGAACUUCCAGAGAUUGCUGCAUUACUCGAUGAAUUCCAGCUUGUUUUUGCUGAGUCCACAACUUUACCACAACACCGUAGCUGGAUCACAGGAUUCCUCUGAUUGCAGGGGCCAAACCAGUGAACAUCCGACCUUACAGAUACACUCCAGAACAGAAAAGUGAGAUCGAAGCGCAGAUUAAGGAAAUGUUACAGCGAGGAUUGAUCGUACCUGAUGUGAGUCCCUUCUCGUCCCCGGUGUUGCUAGUGAGAAAAAAAGACCAAACGUGGCGCUUCUGUGUGGACUUCCGUCACCUGAAUGCAAUCACUAUCAAAGGCACCUGCUCCUUGCCCAUCAUCGAUGAGCUACUUGACGAAUUGGCCGGAUCAAAAUGGUUCUCGAAACUCGACCUCAGGGCAGGUUACCAUCAAAUCCGAUUGGUGGAGGAAGACAAGGAGAAGACAUCAUUUAGAACUCACAUGGGCCACUUCCAAUUUCGGGUGAUGCCAUAUGGGUUAGCAUUCGCGCCUGGCACGUUUCAAACUGGAGUCAAUAUUGUGUUCGGGCCACUGGUACGACAUGGAGUACUCGUCUUCAUGGACGAUAUUCUAGUGCACACGGCUACCUACCAAGAGCACCCGCAGCUGCUGCGACAAGUACUCCAGCAACUGCGCAACCAUGAUUUGGUGGCCAAAAGAUCUAAAUGCUCAUUCGUGCAGCAACACAUCAACUACUUGGGCCACCAUAUCAGUGACCAGGGAGUGUCAACUCUGACAGAGCAGGUUCAGUCAGUGCAAAAAUGGAAACAACCCACAACAGUCAAGCAGCUGAGAGGAUUCCUAGGAUUGGCAGGGUAUUAUCGCAAGUUUGUGCGCAACUUUGGAGUGCUCAGUAGGCCGUUGAACAGACUUGCUUAAGAAAAAUGCAGUGUUUGUAUGGACACCCACAACACAGGCAGCCUUCCAAGCACUUAAACAAGCAUUGAUCUCAGCCCCGGUACUGGCAUUACCGGACUUCUCCAAGCAGUUUGUAGUAGAAACAGAUGCGAGCGCAACAGUCAUUGGAGCCGUACUCAUGCAAGGGGGCAUCCAAUGGCGUAUCUCAGUAAAAGUUUGGCUCCACGAAAUUUGGGGCUGUCAGCAUACGAGAAGGAAUGCCUGGCACUUCUCCUGGCAGUGGAUCACUGGCGUCCCUAUUUGCAACACUCUGAAUUCCUCAUUCGCACGGAUUAACGGAGCUUGCUGAACCUAACAGACCAGCGACUCAACACCCCAAUACAGCAGCGGGCAUUUACGAAACUGGUGGGUCUUCAGUUUCGAAUCCAGUAUAAAGCAGGAGCAACAAAUCGGGCAGCGGAUGCUCUAUCUCGACAAGAGCAAACUGAUGACAAGGAACUUGCAGCAAUCGCAGUGGCUAAGCCAGCAUGGCUCGAAGCAAUCGUGGCCAGUUACCAACAAGAUCCCAACACACAACAAUUGAUCACCAGGUUGGCGCUGGAUCCAAGCAGCGAGGAAGGAUUUGCUCUGCAAGAAGGAGUUCUCAAAUAUCAAGUGCACAUUUGGAUUGGCGUAGACCCAGGAACUUAGAAAACAUUGAUUGCAACACUCCACGAUAGCGCGGCAGGAGGACACUCAGGGUUUCACGCCACCUACAAUUGGGUGCGCAGGUUAUUUGCAUGGAAAGGGCUCAAGAUUAUGGUCAAGGAAUUUGUGCAACAAUGCCAGACAUGUCAGAAAGCAAAAACGGAGAGGAUUUCCCCAGCGGGCCUACUACAGCCCUUGCCAAUACCAAAACGAGCAUGGGCAGUGAUUUCACUCGACUUCAUCGAAGGAUUGCCUACAUCGGGUGGUUAUAAUGUCAUCCUCGUGGUUGUGGAUAAGUUCUCUAAAUACGGACACUUCCUGCCAAUGAAGCACCCAUACACAACUCUGUCAGUGGCUAUGACCUUCAUGCACAAUAUCUUUAAGCUCCACGGGAUGCCUCUAGCAAUCAUCUCCGAUCGUGACAGGAUGUUCACCAGCAACCUUUGGCAAGAGAUGUUCAAGCUAGCCCAGACACAACUACGAAUGAGUUCAUCAUAUCACCCUCAAACUGAUGGCCAAACGGAACGGGUGAACCAAUGCCUCGAAACCUAUCUAAGGUGCUCAGUGCAUUCUUGCCCCAAGAACUGGUACAAAUGGUUAUUCCGGGCUGAAUACUGGUACAACACCAAUUUCCACUCUGCACUGGGGCGCACACCAUAUGAGGUCAUCUACGGGACUGCCACGUGAAUUUGGUGUCACUCAGGUGGACAGCAGCACGGUGCCAGACUUAGCUGCUUGGCUCCAAGAGCGCGAAGUGAUGCGUGACCUGUUGCAGCAACAGCUCAAGCAUGCGCAGGACCGUAUGAAGCGGCAGGCCGACAAGCACCGCACUGAUCGAGAGUUCGAGGUGGGCGACGCGGUGUAUUUGCGACUUCAGCCGUACAUACAGACGUCCGUCGCUCAGCGCCCGUUUCAGAAGCUGGCCUUCAGGUAUUUUGGUCCAUACCCAGUCAUAGCGUGCGUGGGCAAGGUGGCAUACAAACUUCAGUUGCCAGUCGGAAGCAAGAUACAUCCGGUGGUACACGUCUCCCAGCUUAAGAAGACACCGAUGGCCAUCCUCAAAGAUUGCACUGUCAAGACGGUGCAGGAAGAUCAACAGCGCGUGCUAGUGCGCUGGACAGGUCUACCAGCAUCUAUGGCUACAUGGGAAGACCUGAUGCUGCUCCGACAACGCUUUCCUGCAUCGCUGGCUUGGGGACAAGCCAGUUUCCAAGAAGGGGAGAAUGUCAGUACCACUACACCACCCCAACUGUCAGAGUGGCCCAAGCCCUAGGCGGGACCACCAGUCGGCGACCAGAGGCAAGAAGAAGAGCGGAACGAGUCCUAGUUCGGCACGACCUACCCUGUACUUAAGUGGAGCGGUGUGUAGUGUGUGGGUUAUGAUGGAUUACUGUACACAUAACUGGAGCUGAUCUCCUUGGCAUCCUUAUCCUAUCUACCUAUCUUCUUCCUCC